GUCCCGGUAGCUCAGCGGAGAGAGCGCCUGGCUACGAACCAGGAGGCCGCAGGUUCGAAUCCUGCCCGGGACA
rnacentral:tRNA from 1 species